UAAAAGCUCGUAGUUGGAUUUCUAGCAGACAUGCGUGGUCCGGACCACUUUGUGGAGCUGAGUAUCGCUGUGUGUCUGUUAUCUUACUAGUUUCAGAUCCUCUGGGUCUUGACUGGUUCUUUUACUUUGAAAAAAUUAGAGUGUUUAAAGCAGGCUUGCGCAAUGAAUACAUUAGCAUGGAAUAAUAACAUAAGACUUUGGUUUUAUUUUGUUGGUUCAUAGCACUAGAGUAAUGAUUGAUAGGGAUAGUUGGGGGUGCUAGUAUUGAGCGGCCAGAGGUGAAAUUCGGGGAUUCGCUCAAGACUAACUUAUGCGAAAGCAUUCACCAAGGAUGUCUUCUUUAAUCAAGAACGAAAGUUGGGGGAUCGAAGACGAUCAGAUACCGUCGUAGUCUCAACCAUAAACUAUACCGACUAAGGAUGAGUGACCGUUGCGUUUCGACUUCAUUCGCACUUUAUGAGAAAUCAAAGUCUUUGGGUUCCGGGGGGAGUAUGGUCGCAAGGCUGAAACUUAAAGGAAUUGA
rnacentral:rRNA from 1 species